rnacentral:rRNA from 1 species
UACGUAGGGAGCAAGCGUUGUCCGGAAUCAUUGGGCGUAAAGCGCGCGUAGGUGGCCUCAUAAGUCCGCUGUGAAAGUCCAAGGCUCAACCUUGGAAAGCCGGUGGAUACUGUGAGGCUAGAGUACGGAAGAGGCGAGUGGAAUUCCUGGUGUAGCGGUGGAAUGCGCAGAUAUCAGGAGGAACACCAAUAGCGAAGGCAGCUCGCUGGGACGUUACUGACGCUGAGACGCGAAAGCGUGGGGAGCAAACAGG